GGAGAUCCACUCCACCGGAGUUUCCCAAGUGAGCCUAUAUAUGGUGUUGUAACACCUUGCAGAAGAUGGACGUAUACUCUGAUGUAUUGAAAUGUCAGAUAGAUUUCCUUCCAGAUUGGCUGUAGCCUCACUGACUUCCUGUCAGUAUGUCCUGGAAUUCUGUACAGCAUGAAAAUACAACUCAUAUGUCAGGGUUUGGAUAAACAGUGAACUACUGCUUGAAGUCAAUCUUCCUCCUCAAUAUUGUUCAAAAUGCCAUUGUGAGAUUGGGGCAUAAAGAUCUGCGGCAUGUUUCCAUGAGGUGUGUGCUUGGGUCAAGUGAAGCAUCAUAGUUUUGUGGCUACGUUUUCCUGCAGUGAAGAAGACUAUUCAUGACUCCUCAGAGCAUAGCCUUGUAUGGAAACACAUACUGAACGCUUGUCUCCUUUUGAAGUCUUCAGCUUUUGCUCUUACAAAGGAUUCAGGCCCAGGUUCUGCAUGUAAGAGUGGACUUGUACAUUUAUGAAGCAGGUAAACUUCUAUCUCCUUCCCUAACACAUCAAAGUCUAUAAAGUUCGAUGGGAAAAACUGAGCCAUGUAAACAUAGAUUCUUUCUAGAUAGAAGAUUAUUUAAUUCUGUCUACAAAUGGACAGUAUGAAACCAUUGUGUUUACAAAUGCAUUCUAAACUUUUCUCAUAUUUUGAGUUUUGAAUGCAUAGGACACUUUAAAGGAUAAAAAGAGAUGAGAGUCAUUGUGAAUAACUCAAUAAAUAUUUUCAGUAUACAAUAGUUAUAAAAAUAUGUACAGUUAGAAAACAACAUAACUGCUUUGUACUUUCUUCUAGAAAAUAAUUGUUCAGUAAUAUCUCUAAUUAGUUCCUGACUUUUAAGAAAAAUUAAUCUGAAAAUGCAACAUAGCUCAGAGCAGGAAAAUUGAAGUAGCUUUUUCUGUAAAGUUGGAGAGAAUUUAGGAUUGCUAAAUAAAUAAAUUAAGCAGAAAAAAGCUUAUUUGGUGUACAGAAUUACUAAGUUUAUAUUGACAGGCUUUGUUACAUCUUUAAUAUUCUGGCAGCAUAAAAAGAUAAGGGAUACUUAAAUGAAAGGAAGUAGUUUUAAAAAGGAAAUUUACCUCCUGUAGUGUAUAAAUCAGCUUAUGAAGUGAUUCUUCAAGAGACAGUUGAGUUUAAUGGGGUGGGUAGACUUGAAAUAUGUCUAACAUCACAGUUGUGCAAAUUAAAUAAAGGCUAAUGAAGGUUCAUGCCUCAUAUCACAAGAUGAUCACUUGGUAGGGCAAGAAAGAUCUUUCCCUUGAGGAGGCUUGUACACAUUAGCUAUUUGGAUUACUGGGAAGAGUUUAAUCUCCAAUUAUUCAAGUAGAAAAAGAUGAAUCUUCUCCUCAUUAUGCUGUUCAUGAAGACUGAAUAUAUUGAAUUUUCUCACAUUUCAAGGAAAUAUGUGAUUUAAGAGCUUACUGGAUCUAAGAGAACAAGUACAUACGCAGGAGUGUACUCUGUACUUCUACCUCUAGUCUAAAAAUGGUGUUAACAGACCUUGUAUGUCUUAUGAGACAACUGUUUACUGCUUUUGAUUUAUGGUGCAAAGGAUCUGGGCUAUGAAACAUAAAACUUCUCUAGAAUUAGAAGUGUACAGAAAUUCCCAUUUCCCAAUUGAAUAUGGUACAGAAAUCUCAUAUGUUCUUUAAUAAGAGAAAUAAGUUAUUUGAACCUAUUCAGUAGAGACAAGUAUGAGUGGAAAAUUACUAUAUUAAUAUGUUGUUUUGUUUUUGUAAGUAUACUAGAUGGCCAACUUUUUUGCUUCUUUUGACAAUGAUAAUGUUUCCUGAGCAAUAAAAUAAAAUUUAUGAAAUGCAUAAACUGAGGGUUCAUCUGUAAGAAGUUCAGAUAAAUAAGCACUUCUUGAGAAAUCAGGGAAAAAAAAAUAAUUAUGAGUAAUGUUGAUCCAACCAUCCCAAAGAAAGCCUUCUUUUGGCUCUUCGUUUCAGAGAUUUACUAAAUAUCUGGCAAAUUGACUCCAUUUUUUGAUAGAUGCAGCUGAUAGCAACUUAGUGCAGAAUGCCAGUGCUGAUCAUUUAAAAGAAAACCUUAAGUAGAAAUGUGCCUCUCUGUAAAAAUGAAUCCUUGCAAUAAUAAUUUAUUUCUUUACAAGGUAAUGCAAAACAAAGUUCUGUUGUGUUUUAUUAUUUUUUCAAACUAUUUACAAUGCUAUUUGAGAUGUAAAAUUAGAAAAUGUGCAAGAUUUUUAACUAAAAGUCUUUGAGUUCAUAGAAUUGGAAAGAGAGGUCUUAAAAAAAACUUGAUCUUCUCUUACUAGUAAUAUUUACUAUAGUUCUUCAGAUAUCUAUUUCCACAAAUUCUAAUUAUUUGUAUAUAAUACUGAUGUAUUUUAAGUCAUUAAGAAGCAUAAACUGAUGGAAGAUUUGUAACUAGAAAAAAACAAAUAGAUUUUUCUUAAAAGCAGACAUAUUCACACAUAAUAGUUAUUAAAAUAAUGCCAUAGGUCAAAGAUGGGUUAUUUUCUUCUCUUGGUUUGGGUUUUAACUGUUAUGUGGCUAAAGAGCUCCAUCUUAACAUCACUGUUUAUAAGUGGUAAAAAUCAUGUUCUGGUAAACAUCAUGUGUUUCUGGUAACACAAAUCUAUUUUAAAAUAUCUUCAAACAGUUAGAUGGGAAUUUGGAGUGACACAUAAAAAAUAACCUUUCCAAGGCGAAAAUUAGGUUUUAAAUGAAAGCAUUGCAAAGAAAUAUUUCAGGACUUCAAACCUUUCAAUAACUUGUUGCUGCACAUUUGGUGGGAUAGUCAAUAAGUAUCAGUGCAUUUUGAUGAACUUCAUAUUUUCUACAUUGUGUCUCUUUGCAGCUUAUUUUUCAUAUUUUCUACCACAAAGCUCAUUGUAAGUACUGGAAAAAAUGUCGUUAUCAGCUGGAAACUGGUAAACUGCCAUGUAUUAUUUUAUAAUUCUUGCUAACAGCUUAUUAAGCUCCAAGUAGAAAAAAAAUCCAUCUGUUUAUUCUAGGCAAUAGCAUGAAUAAAAUGAAUAGUACAGACAGUAGUAUUUUUCUAUGUUUCUAUUAAGUGUUAACUUGAGAUGUGUAUUUAUGUAUACACAUAGUUACAUGUGUACGUAUGUGUGCUUUUUCAUUAUUAUUUUUUUUUUUUUUCCCCUCAGGAAGGAUAUCUUCUUUCAUAGUGCUUAGGAUUUUUGUGUAUGUUUUCCCUCAAAAAUUUACAUUGUUGAUCCUUAGCUGUUUUAGAUAUGCAGAACUUCUAUUUUUUCUCUUUAUAAAGCCAUAAUUGUUGAGAUACUGCAAAAUGUUUACUGAAAAUAUGAACCAAAUUACAAUUUUUCAGAUCUUAUACACACAUGUCAAUGUACACUUGAAAAUAAAGCAUACAUUAGUUGUGCGCCUAAUACAGGUAUUAGCCUGAUUAGCUAGUCACUCUGACUCACAUUGUACUGCUUUAUGACAAAAACAUAUAACUGAAAACACAUUAUUUAUUCACAGAUGAGAAAAAAAGCCUUGUGUAACACUGGAGUAAAAGUAUCCUUUUUUUGGGGACUAGUGGUGGCAUGCUCAAAUGCUUUUAAUUUAAACUGAAACUUCUUUCUUCAGUGUCAGCAUUUUACAGACUUAGUAUGUAUACAAACAUAUACAUAAAUAUACAAACACAUGCAAAGAAAAACACUCCAGUGCUCCAUAAAUUGAAUAGAUACAUUCCCACAGAAAGUACCAGAAGAAUUGAGUCUAAAACUCAUAGGAAAGGCAAUUUAUAGCAGAGAAAAUAGGAACCCUAAUUUCAUGUAAUAUAAUUGAUCAGUGUUUGAAAUACCGAUCGGUUUUACAACAGUAGAUAAUUUAAUUUUACCUUGUUUUAUUGUGGCCAAUUCAAAAUACAUGAUUAAGAGGAAUAAGUUAAAGAACUCUCUAACAGUAACUAGUCUAU